rfam:Pontibacillus marinus BH030004 = DSM 16465 strain BH030004 contig74, whole genome shotgun sequence.
AUAAAAAAAAGCCUGCAGAAAAAUUUCUGCAGGCACCUUUUUGGAUUGAACUAAAUCAAACAAAAAGGCAAAGGGAGAGGAGAAACCGGAGGAAGAACUUAUGGGGAAACGUAAGUCUUCUCCGUCU